CCUACGAGAGGCAGCAGUAGGGAAUCUUCCACAAUGGGCGAAAGCCUGAUGGAGCAACGCCGCGUGGGUGAAGAAGGUCUUCGGAUCGUAAAACCCUGUUGUUAGAGAAGAAAGUGCGUGAGAGUAACUGUUAACGUUUCGACGGUAUCUAACCAGAAAGCCACGGCUAACUACGUGCCAGCAGCCGCGGUAAUACGUAGGUGGCAAGCGUUAUCCGGAUUUAUUGGGCGUAAAGGGAACGCAGGCGGUCUUUUAAGUCUGAUGUGAAAGCCUUCGGCUUAACCGGAGUAGUGCAUUGGAUACUGGGAGACUUGAGUGCGGAAGAGGAGAGUGGAACUUCAUGUGUAGCGGUGAAAUGCGUAGAUAUAUGGAAGAACACCAGUGGCGAAAGCGGCUCUCUGGUCUGUAACUGACGCUGAGGUUCGAAAGCGUGGGUAGCAAACAGGAUUAGAUACCCGGGUAGUC
rnacentral:rRNA from 1 species